UACGAAGGGGGCUAGCGUUGUUCGGAAUUACUGGGCGUAAAGAGCGCGCAGGCGGUCUUGUAAGUCGAAUGUGAAAGCCCCUGGCUCAACCGGGGAGGGUCAUUCGAUACUGCUCGACUCGAAGGCAGGAGAGGGAAGCGGAAUUCCCGGUGUAGUGGUGAAAUGCGUAGAGAUCGGGAGGAAGGCCGGUGGCGAAGGCGGCGCUCUGGAACAUUUCUGACGCUGAGGCUCGAAAGCGUGGGGAGCAAACAGG
rnacentral:rRNA from 1 species